AGUGAACGCUGGCGGUAGGCCUAACACAUGCAAGUCGAACGGCAGCACAGUAAGAGCUUGCUCUUACGGGUGGCGAGUGGCGGACGGGUGAGGAAUACAUCGGAAUCUACUUUUUCGUGGGGGAUAACGUAGGGAAACUUACGCUAAUACCGCAUACGACCUACGGGUGAAAGCAGGGGAUCUUCGGACCUUGCGCGAUUGAAUGAGCCGAUGUCGGAUUAGCUAGUUGGCGGGGUAAAGGCCCACCAAGGCGACGAUCCGUAGCUGGUCUGAGAGGAUGAUCAGCCACAAUAGAACUGAGACACGGUCCAGACUCCUACGGGAGGCAGCAGUGGGGAAUAUUGGACAAUGGGCGCAAGCCUGAUCCAGCCAUACCGCGUGGGUGAAGAAGGCCUUCGGGUUGUAAAGCCCUUUUGUUGGGAAAGAAAAGCAGCAGGUUAAUACCCCGCUGUUCUGACGGUACCCAAAGAAUAAGCACCGGCUAACUUCGUG
rnacentral:rRNA from 1 species